CGUCGCUGUUAAGCAAAUCGAGCACACUUCAUGGUUUUCUCUUGCAUUCUUCUGCACAGCGCAGUUUUCCCCAAAACCCUGAAAUGGGUUAUCUGAGCAAAGCUUCCAAAACUCUGAGGCAAUCGAAUUACCUAUCGUUGUUGCGCAAUUUCAGUUUCAACCCAAUAACCAACAGAAUAACCAAUGAUCGCUUUUCUUUCACCCGAGCACUGUUCUGUUCCCAGUCACGCCAAAACAGCACCACUAGAGAGAAAAGCAUCAUCGAUUUGAGCCAUUACCCUCCAGAACUCGUUAGAAACUUCUCAAUCAUUGCACACGUGGAUCAUGGCAAGUCCACCCUUGCUGACCGCCUUCUAGAACUCACUGGAACCAUUAAGAAAGGCCAUGGCCAACCCCAGUAUCUUGAUAAACUGCAGGUGGAGAGAGAAAGAGGAAUCACAGUUAAAGCCCAGACAGCAACAAUGUUCUAUAAGCACAGCGUAAACGGUGAUGAUUGCAGUGAUGGAAAGGAGUCACCUAAUUUUUUGCUGAAUCUCAUUGACACUCCUGGACAUGUUGAUUUUAAUUAUGAAGUGUCAAGGUCAGUGGCAGCUUGUCAGGGUGUGCUUUUGGUUGUUGAUGCUGCUCAGGGAGUUCAAGCACAAACUGUUGCUAACUUUUACCUUGCCUUUGAGUCUAACCUGACAAUUGUGCCUGUUAUAAACAAGAUUGAUCAGCCUACUGCUGAUCCGGAUCGUGUUAAAGCCCAAUUGAAAUCGAUGUUUGAUCUCAACCCAAGUGAUGCAUUGCUAACAUCUGCUAAAACUGGAGAGGGUCUUGAGCAAAUCCUUCCGGCAGUCAUAGAGCGCAUACCUGCCCCUCCUGGGAGGAGUGAUUCUCCUCUACGCAUGCUUUUACUUGAUUCUUAUUAUGAUGAAUACAGAGGGGUAAUAUGCCAUGUUGCUGUUGUUGAUGGUGUCCUGCGCAAGGGGGAUAAGAUUUCUGCUGCAGCUACUGGUCAGUCAUAUGAAGCUUUAGAUAUAGGCAUCAUGCAUCCUGAACUUACACCUACUGGAAUCUUGCUUACUGGACAAGUUGGUUAUGUUGUAAGUGGCAUGCGGUCAACCAAAGAGGCCCGUGUUGGUGAUACAAUUUACCAUACUCGAAGUGUUGUAGAGCCUCUUCCAGGUUUCAAGCCAGCAAAACAUAUGGUGUUCUCUGGUCUUUAUCCAGCAGAUGGAUCUGAUUUUGAAGCUCUAAAUCAUGCAAUAGAGAGGUUGACAUGCAACGAUGCCAGUGUCUCUAUUACUAAAGAAACUAGCACUGCUCUAGGUCUGGGGUUCAGGUGUGGGUUUUUAGGCCUUCUGCACAUGGAUGUUUUUCAUCAACGGCUUGAACAGGAGUAUGGAGCUCACAUUAUCUCAACUGUUCCUACUGUGCCUUAUAUAUUUGAGUUUUCUGAUGGAAGCAAGUUAGAAGUUCAGAAUCCUGCGACAUUACCCUCUAAUCCCAAGCAACGAGUGACAGCCUGUUGGGAACCUACAGUAAUAGCUACUAUAAUCAUUCCUAGUGAGUAUGUGGGACCUGUUAUUACCCUUGUCUCUGAGCGUAGGGGUCAUCAGUUGGAGUACUCCUUUAUUGACAGUCAACGGGUAUUCAUGAAGUACCGCCUGCCUUUGAGAGAAAUUGUUGUUGACUUUUAUAAUGAAUUAAAGAGUAUAACAUCAGGCUAUGCAUCGUUUGAUUAUGAGGACUCCGAUUAUCAACAAGCUGAUCUGGUGAAACUUGAUAUUCUCUUGAAUGGUCAACCAGUUGAUGCAAUGGCAACCAUUGUUCAUAACACAAAAGCAUAUCGUGUUGGGCGUGAUUUGGCGGAGAAAUUGAAGAACGUCAUCGACAGGCAAAUGUUUGAGAUAUCCAUACAAGCUGCCAUUGGGUCAAAAAUCAUAGCAAGGGAGACGAUUUCUGCUAUGAGGAAAAAUGUUCUUGCCAAGUGUUAUGGUGGUGAUGUUACUCGUAAAAGGAAGCUAUUGGAGAAGCAAAAGGAAGGAAAGAAGAGAAUGAAGCGGGUUGGUUCUGUUGAUAUACCACAAGAAGCAUUUCACCAACUAUUGAAGGUUUCUUAGCAGACAUGUUUGAAGAUAUUUAUGUAUUACACAGUGGUUUUGUAACCUAGUUAGAUUCAAGACCGAGGCAUAAUAUCUUCACGUGACAUUACGUCAUUCAUUAUAGUGGAGGAAACGAUGAGACAUAGACUAUUCUUUGAAGUUUUGGAAACGACGUCUGCCUUCUGUUCAAAGAGCUUCAGAAUGAAGCUGAAGAAAAUUCUCAGCCAUUACUGAGUGAUUAAUGCUUGCCAUGGACUCCUAUGCACCUUGAAUGUUACAGUCCUGUUGCAGCACAAAUUAAUCAACUAAACCUUACAAUAAUUUUGUAGCAGAAAUUUUCAACUAUAGUUGUGGCCUUGUUCUAGGUACCGGGCUUACAAUAAUUUUAUCCUUUUAAUGAUUUGUUGUUUUUACUAUCACUUAUUAUAUUUUAGUAGUCUUUUUAAUAGCUGUUUUUUGUUUUUGUACACAAACAAAUUUUUUUUAAUAAUUUCUUCUGUUUUCAAUAAAACAGUUUUGAAA